CCUACGGGGGGCAGCAGUGAGGAAUAUUGGUCAAUGGACGAGAGUCUGAACCAGCCAAGUAGCGUGAAGGAUGACUGCCCUAUGGGUUGUAAACUUCUUUUAUAAAGGAAUAAAACGAGGCACGUGUGCCUUUUUGCAUGUACUUUAUGAAUAAGGAUCGGCUAACUCCGUGCCAGCAGCCGCGGUAAUACGGAGGGUCCGAGCGUUAUCCGGAUUUAUUGGGUUUAAAGGGGGCGUAGAUGGGUUGUUAAGUCAGUUGUGAAAGUUUGCGGCUCAACCGUAAAAUUGCAAUUGAUACUGGCAUUCUUGAGUACAGUUGAGGUAGGCGGAAUUCGUGGUGUAGCGGUGAAAUGCUUAGAUAUCACGAAGAACCCCGAUUGCGAAGGCAGCUUACUAAACUGUGACUGACAUUGAUGCUCGAAAGUGUGGGUAUCAAACAGGAUUAGAUACCCUUGUAGUC
rnacentral:rRNA from 1 species